rnacentral:lncRNA from 1 species
AGAAGAUCGUAUGAGCCAUGAGUAACUAAGGUCACACCAGGCAAUUUACAGAGCUCAGCCGCAAAGGCUGCUCUUCUUGCUCAGGGCCAGAUGUGAAGUCAGAGAUCAAGAAGGUAGGCAGGUGUGGUGGUGAAUGCCUAUAAACCCAGCUACUUGAGAGGCUGCGGCAGGAGUCCCACAGGUUUGAGUCCAGCCCGGGCAACUUAGUAAGAUUCUGUCUCAAAAUCACAAUUUUAAAAGGGAAUGUAGCUCAGUGCUCUCUGGGUUCAAUAUCCACCCACAGGAAAAAAACAGGAUGCAAAUCAUUAGUUCUUUGCUUAAAUUAGUGAUGACGAACCUGGAUUGAAACCAGCAACACGGCUGUGGAUGAUUUCAUCAAAUCAAAUUAACUUGCAGCCACAGAGCCCACAGUUCUAAUAUUAGAAGGAGAGAUUUACCCAGGGCAACACAGAGAGACGCGCCUCCCAUUUUUUAUUCGAUUUAUACCAUAGGCUUCCAGAUCUUUAAGAGGUUCACUGGACCAUACCAGCUCAGCGCAUGUGGCCCUGCUUCUGCAGGUGAUGAGACAGGCAAUUUGAAAGCACGGGGUUCAAAUGAAAGCCUGCAGCUGCCGAAUUCCAAAUUAAUUGCAUGAAAAUUCAGCGUCUCAGUAACCCUGAAUGUGCAGAGCCCAUUAAGCUGCAUUUCUCCCCGGAGCCCCACGGAACUGUCCGUGGCAACUCAGGAGGGCUGUUAGGAACGGAGGACUGGAUCUUCCCCUGGGGCUGAUUGAACAAAGGCGAGCACUCCCACUGCUGAGCAAAGAAAGGGAAGAGUGAAAACACAAAAGCAGAAAAGCCCAC